ACGCUCGACACCUACGGGAGGCAGCAGUGGGGAAUAUUGCACAAUGGGGGAAACCCUGAUGCAGCGACGCCGCGUGGAGGAAGAGGGUCUUCGGAUUGUAAACUCCUGUUGUUGGGGAAAAAGAGGAUGGUACCCAACAAGGAAGUGACGGCUAACUACGUGCAAGCAGCCGCGGUAAUCUGAGCGGGCUGGCAAGGC
rnacentral:rRNA from 1 species